rnacentral:rRNA from 1 species
UACGUAGGGGGGCGAGCGUUGUCCGGAUUCAUUGGGCGUAAAGAGCUCGUAGGCGGCUUGGCAAGUCGGGUGUGAAAACUCCAGCUCAACCUGGAGACGCCACCCGAUACUGCCAUGGCUUGAGUCCGGUAGGGGACCACGGAAUUCCUGGUGUAGCGGUGAAAUGCGCAGAUAUCAGGAGGAACACCGGUGGCGAAGGCGGUGGUCUGGGCCGGUACUGACGCUGAGGAGCGAAAGCGUGGGGAGCGAACAGG